GAUGAACGCUAGCGGAAGGCUUAAUACAUGCAAGUCGAGCGGUAGGUGGCUUCGGCCAUUGAGAGCGGCGCACGGGUGAGUAACGCGUACAUGACCUGCCUGUCAGAAGGGGAUAGCCCUGGGAAACUGGGAUUAAUACCCUAUGGUAUUGAUAUUAUGAAUGAUAUCAAUUAAAGUUGAGGCGCUGACAGAUGGAUGUGCGUCUGAUUAGCUAGUUGGUAGGGUAACGGCCUACCAAGGCGACGAUCAGUAGGGGGCGGUGAGAGCGUGGUCCCCCACCACGGGUACUGAGACACGGACCCGACUCCUACGGGAGGCAGCAGUAAGGAAUAUUGGUCAAUGCCCGCAAGGGUGAACCAGCCAUUCCGCGUGGAGGAUGAAGGCCCUAUGGGUUGUAAACUUCUUUUAGAUGGGAAGAAAAUGCUAGAUGUAUCUGGUACUGACGGUACCAUCAGAAUAAGCACCGGCUAACUCCGUG
rnacentral:rRNA from 1 species